AAUUUGUGAUAAAUGUAUUUUUCCGAUCCAAAUAGUGUUCUCUCAAUUCCAACCAAAUAAAAAUCAAGAUUAUAAAGAAUAGGUUACAUGUUUCAAUCACACUUCAAACUAUAUAUAGAGAGGCAAGCCCCAAGGUUCAACAUGUACAAAACCAAGAAAAUGUUGUAAUGAAUAGCAUGUGCAAUGAUAGUAUACAUCAUGUAUCUAUACAUUGCUCAUGUGGGAUUAUUAAUAAGUUAAGCACCCUUGUUACUCUGCCAUGGCUUGAGCACACCAACGACGAUAAUUGCGACAAUUAUGAGGAGGAUCAUGAUGGCAAAGCACAUCCAUUUUCUUGAAUUCUUUUGAAGUUUCUUUGCCUUUUGUAGAGCAGUAGUCCCUGAUUGUACAUGGUCUACAGCAGUUGAAACCUGUGAUUCUAUAUUAUCAAGCAUGUCUCCUUGAGCAUCAACCAACACUGCUAUGUCCAGGAAUAUCUGUUGCAACUCAAGAAGCUUCCUCUCUAAUUCUCUAACUGCAUCAUGGCGCUCUUGAAUUUCAGCUAGUGUGCCCAUUAUUUGUCCUCGCCCUUGUUGCUGAAUAGCUUUCUGGAAUAUCUGUUCACUGUCUCCAGUCUCUAUCAACCUAUCAAUUGUCUCUUCAUCAGCUCGAUUACCCGUCACUGUGAAUACUCGCCUUUCAACAACCUCGCGAUAUUCAUGGUGGAUGUUUUCUCUUAAAGUCUGAAACUCAGCCAUUUUAUCUUUGAACUUCUUUUUCAAGGAAACUGUUGUUGCUGUUCUUGAUCUGUCAACAGCUGAUCCUUUACCACAACCUGGUUUGUUUCUAUUGGCUAGAUUUUCUUUAUCAAGCUCCUCGAUUUUUGAUUUGAUUACUCGAGCUAUUUUUCCGACUUCAUCAACAUCUUUUUCCAUCCGCUGCUUAAUUGCUUUCAUAGCAGAAGCUUUUGUAACAGCCUUUGAUUCCUCAUGUGCAUCCUGAAGCUUCUGGAGUAGUUCGUUCAGUCUUCCAUACUGUUUCUCAAUUUGUUGAACCUUUUUAAAGAAAUCAUCAAGGCCUAGCUCCCCGGAAUUCAUUGGUAUUUGUAUUCCCAUUUCAACAUCUCCAUUUCUAUUACUUUGAUGCCUUGGGGCAUCAAAAUUAUCAUCAUCAUUUAAAAGAUCAUUCAUUUUGGGAGAAGAAUGAGAGAUCUACUGAAUUCUUGGCACUCUCUCUCUCCCCCCCGUCGUUUUCUUUGUCUGUAAGUUUCUGCUUCGACCCCUUUGAACAAUUUUUAGAGAGAGAAAGAGGGAGGCAGAAAGGAAGAGAGAGAAACAGACAGCAAUAUGAAAGAAUGUUGCAACAGCGU
rnacentral:misc_RNA from 1 species